CAAGGCAGAUAUAGGACCCGUGUAGACAUAAUGCCGUCGGUCAUAUGUCUGCCUGAUU
rnacentral:pre_miRNA from 1 species